rnacentral:rRNA from 1 species
UACGUAGGGGGCAAGCGUUGUCCGGAAUCAUUGGGCGUAAAGCGCGUGUAGGCGGCUCGAUAAGUCUGCUGUGAAAGUUCAGGGCUCAACCCUGAAAUGCCGGUGGAAACUGUCGGGCUAGAGUCCGGGAGAGGCGAGUGGAAUUCCUGGUGUAGCGGUGAAAUGCGCAGAUAUCAGGAGGAACACCAAUGGCGAAGGCAGCUCGCUGGGCCGGUACUGACGCUGAGACGCGAAAGCGUGGGGAGCAAACAGG